GAGGCCAAUAAUCCAAACGAACCAAAACAAUGCUGUUACAAAUUCCAGACGAAUAAAAUCCCUCUACGACUGAUUAAGGGGUAUAAAGAAACUCGGACUGACUGUACAAAAGCUGGAAUCAUACCCUGGACUUCUGUGGGUGAAGAAUCACAUGAAGAAAAUUGACCUGCGCUUUCUUUCAGAGCCGAUCCAACCUCGACUGAGCCGUUAAAUCCUCUCUCUGUUAAUAACAAGCUAUCCCGUCUGGUCCGAUCCCACAGAAGAUCUACUGCAGCACAAACUGCUGAAAAAGUUCAUGCUGGAUCUGAUAGAAAGGAGUCAGAACACACAGAGCAUCACAGCUUAUUGUGUAUGGAGCUGUGUAGCUGCAGAGCGGUCAGAGUGUCCAUGCUGACCCCCUGUACACCUCCAAAAUCUCCUACAAUGGACAUCAGAACUGGACCAUGGAGCAGUGGAAGAAGGUGGUCUGGUCUGAUGAAUCAUGUUUUAUUUUACAUCAUGUAUAGGCCGGGUGCGUGUGUGUCACUUAUCUGGGGAAGAGAUGGCACCAGGGUGCACUAUGGGAAGAAUGCGAGUUGUUGUGAUGCUUGUGUUGUUCUCUGCUUGAUGUAUCGCUUUGCUUGUAUUUCCUCAUUUGUAAGUCUCUUUGGAUAAAAGCGUCUGCUAAAUGAAUAAAUGUAAAUGUGAAUGUGAUGCUCUGGGUAAUGUUCUGCUGGGAAACCUUGGGUUCUGGCAUUCAUGUGGAUGUUACUUUGACACGUACCACCUACCUAAAUACUGCAAAAACUCUUCAGGAACGGUUUGAGGAACAUGACAAAGCGUUCAAGGAGUUGACUCGGCCUCCAAAUUCCCCAGAGCUCAAUCCGAUCGAGCGUCUGUGGGAUGUUCUGGACAAACAAGUCCGAUCCACAGAGGCCCCACCUCGCAACUUACAGGACUUAAAGGAUCUGCUUCUAAUGUCUUGGUGCCAGAUACCACAGCACACCUUCAGAGGUCUUGUGGAGUCCAGGCCUCGACAGGUCAGAGCUGUUUUUCGGCCACAAGGAGAGGAGGACCUACACAAUAUCAGGCAGGUGGUUUUAAUGUUAUGGCUGAUCUGUGUAUCUGGUAAUAAUGUUAGAUAAUAACGUCACGACACAUCUGUGUUAUGACGACUGUCGUGUCUGUUAUGUUCUACACCCACCAUCCACCCAUUAUUUACUUUCAAAUUUGAGUUACAGCUAAUUUGUUAUACCUCCUUCCUU